AUGAACGCUGGCGGCGUGCCUAAUCCAUGCAAGUAGAGCGCUGAAGGAAGGAGCUUGCUCUUUCCGGAUGAGUUGCGAACGGGUGAGUAACGCGUAGGUAACCUGCCUGGUAGCGGGGGAUAACUAUUGGAAACGAUAGCUAAUACCGCAUAACAGUAGAUGUUGCAUGAUAUCUACUUAAAAGGUGCAAUUGCACCACUACCAGAUGGACCUGCGUUGUAUUAGCUAGUUGGUGAGGUAACGGCUCACCAAGGCGACGAUACAUAGCCGACCUGAGAGGGUGAUCGGCCAAACUGGGACGGAGACAAGGCCCAGACUCCUACGGGAGGCAGCAAGAGGGAAUCGUCGGCAAUGGGCGGAAGUCUGACCGAGCAACGCCGCGGGAGUGAAGAAGGGUGUCGGAUCGUAAAGCUCUGUUGUAAGAGAAGAACGAGUGUGAGAGUGGAAAGUUCACACUGUGACGGUAUCUUACCAGAAAGGGACGGCUAACUACGUG
rnacentral:rRNA from 1 species